CACGGUUUUUGUUAGACACCCCGUGCCAAAAUGCUAAAUUUAUAGCUCCACGGGGAUGCUCCCAGAAUGCUUUAAGCCAAAAACUUCUCGACCCAAAAAAAAAAAAAAAACUUUUUUUUCUGUCCAAUACUCCAAAAUCCAAUUAGAAUUGUCUAUCAGACUUUUUUUUUUUUUUUUACUGAUAAGAGAUCAUAGGAGUCUGGAUAGAGAUAGAGAUCUUAAUAGUAGUAUGUUGAAGAAUGGACUAAUAAGUACUUAUGAGCUUAUCCUAUCUUUCAAUGAUAAUCAAUUUAAGCGAUCGACAAGGCACAGAGCCAGGAUAUUUGCAUAUGCUUCUGUAUGUAUUCAUGAAACCUUGGACGCUUGCUUGCUGUUGACUCCUGAGGUAACACUUUUUCUUAUUCAUCUAUUUUGAAGAAACACAAAAUUAGAGUUCAUUCUAUAUUUUUCUAAUUAGGAAUUGAAUGCCAAGGUUGGAUCAAAGACCGAGAGAGAGUUAUCUUUUCUGGGUAACAAAUAAAUUGGGACCAUUUCCAAUCUUUCGUUUUCUUCAUACAUUUUGUUCCUUCUCAACUCAAAGCCCAUGAAAAUCUGUAGUUUUUUAAUUAAUAGAGUGUGAUUCUCUGUUCAAAAUUGAAGCUUUCAGGGCUGAUAUUGGUGAUUAUCUUUAGGUUUGAUUUGGGUUUGUGUCACAUACAUCUGAGUAUUCAUUGGGAACAAGUUCUGGGUCUAGUUUGCUUAAGCUCAAAUAUUCACAUGCAAAAUUUACCAAGAUGGAUAGUCAAAUUAUUUUGUGCUAAUUUGUUAGGAGUAUUGUAAUUCAUUUUUUGAAUACAUGUGGCCGACUCUAACUAGUCUUUUGAGGAUUUAUAGCCAACCCCUAAAUUUUGGGGCUUGGGAUUGGUUGUUGUUGUUGUUGUUGUUGUAGUAUUGGCAGUCAUAGUCAAGAAAAAAAAUUGAGAUGGGUUCUGGAGAACAAAACCACAGGUGGAGUGUUUUUGAUGGGGUUAAGGUUAUUCCCGCAGCACCUGAGGCUCUCAUGGCAGAGAUUGAUAUAGCCAUUUCUAAGCUUGAGUAUGCUCGUGCUACUGCUAGGCUUGAGUCCCCAUCUUCUUCUUCUUCUUCUUCUUCUUCUUCUGUAUUAAAUAAUACGAGCUCAGAUUCAAGUCCAAGGCCUCUGUAUGAUGCCCGACUGGCAGAUGAAGCUUACAGAGCAGGAUGUGCAGCCUUGGCUGCUGGCAAGCUUGAUGAAGCUCUUUUCUCUUUGAACAUUUCUCUCUCUAAUUGCCCACCUGAUAAGACUAAUGCCGUUGCUAAGCUUCAGUCUCUCAUUGCUCUUACAUCUCAGCAACUCUACAAGUCUCCCAUUUGAACUGCUAGAUGUUAGCUGCAGAUCUUUUUAUUAAAAACCUGUGCAAUUGAUUGGAGACCACUUGCUGGUUCAAUAAUGGAAGAAACAUGAGGGAGUGCUCAUAACAAAAUGCUGCAGGAUCUAAUUGCUAGUAGAUAUGCCCUUAACACAAUGCUGCAGGAUCUAAUUGCUUGUGGAUAUGGUUUAUUCACUUGCGUUUAAGUCGCUAGUGGGCACUGGGAAGGCAGGUUUUGCUGCUUUGGUGGACAUCAGAAUCAGACAGCAUGUCAGCUUGACAAACUUUUCUUUAUGUGGCCAUGUAUUGUCGGUUAGGUGUGUAAAAAAUUUGUAUGUUAUGUUGAUUGUGUACGAAUUCCCACAUAUAUACUUGGUCGUUGUACUGAAACAAUUUGGCAACUCAGAUUUUUGUUUUAUUUUUUUGAUAGGUAACUUAGCAACUCAGAUUAUAUUGUACGGUUCCUUGCAUUCUUUUGUUUUGAA